GGGAAUUUUCCGCAAAGGGCGAAAACCUGACGGAGCAAGACCGCGUGAGGGAAGAAGGCCUUUGGGUUGUAAACCUCUUUUCUCAGGGAAGAAUGCAAUGACGGUACCUGAGGAAUAAGCCUCGGCUAACUCCGUGCCAGCAGCCGCGGUAAGACGGAGGAGGCAAGCGUUAUCCGGAAUCACUGGGCGUAAAGCGUCCGCAGGUGGCUUUCCAAGUCUGCCGUCAAAGCCCGAGGCUUAACCUCGGAUCGGCGGUGGAAACUGGAUCGCUAGAGUGCGUCAGGGGUAGGGGGAAUUCCCGGUGUAGCGGUGAAAUCAAAGAGAUCAGGAACGACCACCAGUCAUGAAGAGAUGCUCCCGCUAAUGAGAUAGUACACUCAGUGUGCAAUGGCGUUGGCCCGC
rnacentral:rRNA from 1 species